UACGGGAGGCAGCAGUGGGGAAUCUUCCGCAAUGGACGAAAGUCUGACGGAGCAACGCCGCGUGAGUGAAGAAGGUUUUCGGAUUGUAAAGCUCUGUCUUCGGGGGCGAAUGAGUUUAUGGUGAAUAAUCAUAGGCAGUGACGGUACCUGAGGAGGAAGCCACGGCUAACUACGUGCCAGCAGCCGCGGUAAUACGUAGGUGGCAAGCGUUGUCCGGAAUUAUUGGGCGUAAAGGGCGCGCAGGCGGAAUGCCAAGUCUUUCUUAAAAGUGCUGGGCUUAACCCAGUGAGGGGAAGGAAACUGGUAUUCUUGAGUACAGGAGAGGAAAGUGGAAUUCCCAGUGUAGCGGUGAAAUGCGUAGAUAUUGGGAGGAACACCAGUGGCGAAGGCGACUUUCUGGACUGUGUCUGACGCUGAGGCGCGAAAGCCAGGGGGGUGAACGGGAUUAGAUACCCCGGUAAUCCUGGCCGUAAACGAUGGGUACUAGGUGUAGAGGGUAUCGACCCCUUCUGUGCCGGAGUUAACGCAAUAAGUACCCCGCCUGGGGAGUACGGCCGCAAGGUUGAAACUCAAAGGAAUUGACGG
rnacentral:rRNA from 1 species